GCAGCUCGCCUCGUUUUUGCUUAGCCACAAAAUUAGUUAAAGUGCGUAUUGCGCGAGGAAAAUAAUUCAGAAAUUUGUAAUAGUUAGCAGAACUACACUUAGCGCGAAACCACACAGCCCACCCAAGCCUACUUUGAGGUUAGAAAACGCCACCGAAUCCAACGGUCGAAGCAAGAAUUGUUUAAUUCGAUUGACCGGACGUUCGGUGAAGGAGAUAGUUAGGAGUGUUUCGGAUACACCGUUUAACCGAGGGAACCAUAAUCUUUCGAGCUGAACCAAACGGACACGCUACGAAGACGGUUUCUCGAGUAUUUUCUCCGAAAAUAAACACUUUUCUAACACCAG